rnacentral:rRNA from 1 species
AGAGUUUGAUCCUGGCUCAGGAUGAACGCUAGCGGCAGGCUUAACACAUGCAAGUCGAGGGGUAUAGGUUUUCGGACCUAGAGACCGGCGCACGGGUGCGUAACGCGUAUGCAAUCUACCUUUUACAGAGGGAUAGCCCAGAGAAAUUUGGAUUAAUACCUCAUAAUAUUAUUGAAUGGCAUCAUUUAAUAAUUAAAGUCACAACGGUAAAAGAUGAGCAUGCGUCCCAUUAGCUAGUUGGUAAGGUAACGGCUUACCAAGGCAACGAUGGGUAGGGGUCCUGAGAGGGAGAUCCCCCACACUGGUACUGAGACACGGACCAGACUCCUACGGGAGGCAGCAGUGAGGAAUAUUGGUCAAUGGGCGCAAGCCUGAACCAGCCAUGCCGCGUGCAGGAUGAAGCAUCUAUGGUGUGUAAACUGCUUUUGUACGAGAAGAAACACUCCUUCGUGAAGGAGCUUGACGGUAUCGUAAGAAUAAGGACCGGCUAACUCCGUGCCAGCAGCCGCGGUAAUACGGAGGGUCCAAGCGUUAUCCGGAAUCAUUGGGUUUAAAGGGUCCGUAGGCGGUUUUGUAAGUCAGUGGUGAAAGCCCAUCGCUCAACGGUGGAACGGCCAUUGAUACUGCAAGACUUGAAUUAUUAGGAAGUAACUAGAAUAUGUAGUGUAGCGGUGAAAUGCUUAGAUAUUACAUGGAAUACCAAUUGCGAAGGCAGGUUACUACUAAUGGAUUGACGCUGAUGGACGAAAGCGUGGGGAGCGAACAGGAUUAGAUACCCUAGUAGUCC